AUCACAGGAUGCUGUGAAGAGCAGCCAACGCUGACUGGACAAGCAGUCUGCAGCAAACAGAGCCCCAAAGCUCGGUUCGAAAAGGUUCAGCUCACACUGUGACCCUGCACGGCUUCCUGCUAUUCAUAUGUGUUACUUCCCCUUUGUGGUAAUGGCUUGUGGCACUUGGCCAGAAAACAUUAUUAAUUUCAGAAGUGGACUGACAAAACAACAAACGCACAGUGGAACAAGAGGAAGUGCUGCGGAGGCCAGCUGUCCGGGUUGAGCCCAGCGGUAGGAACUCGGGUGGAUGCAAGUUCUGGAAGGAACAGAGAUGAUCCACGAAGAGGGAGACACACUCAAAUUACCCGCACCCCAGCCCCCUUUAAUAUAAAAAAAAAAAGAAAUGAGAGAGAAGAAAUCAGAGAAAAGGAAAGAAAGCAGUCAGCUACUUGAGCUGCAGCGAGACAGCAACCACUGCUUGCAAAUGCCAGGAGCCAGGACCGGAAACUCUUCAGAACCGGAAACUCUUCAGAACCCGGAUGAACGGGAGCCAAGUUGAACUGCGGUCCAUUUCUGCUUUGUGUUCCUGCUGACUUGGGACACCCAAAUAGAGCCUGGCUUGAUUAUUUUUCUGGUUCCCCCCCCCCACCCCCACCCCCUUGGAGUUAGUCGCUUAAAAAAAGUCACUCCCAGAAGACAAGUUGACACAACUGCUUGUCGAAUGAAAAUCCACUUGCCAACUACACGUAGACUGUCAGGUAGCACAAGAGUCAUCUCCCAUGAUGCUGGGCUGAAAAGCAUCUUUUUUUCCCACUUCAAAAUGAUGGAGCUCAGGCGUGAUAUCCCAAAACACAUCCUAGCACUUCUGGUACUAAUGCAUGCCUCCUCCUCUUAAUUUAGUGUGCCUACUUCUGAGCUCAGAAAAAGGCCUUCAGAAGAAUAAGAGGAUGCCUAAGCCUUUGGCUCAGAGGAAAACUUAAAAACCAUCUAUAACUAAGAUUCAAUGGUGGUUCUGGCCUACGUCCUAAAAUAGCUAAGCACAAAAGCAGACUUAAAUUGGCAACAAAAGAUUUCACCCAGCAGAGUGAACAUUCAAACAUAAAAACCACAUGCAAGUCCAUGAGAAAGCCAACAUACCAUUACAAUGUCCUGAGAAUCAAAGAGAGAAAGGGACCCAGGAUAGCUCAUGCUAGGAUCAUUCUGGUCAGAACUAGACAUCCUGGAAAAAAUUAUUCUACUUCCUUCCUGGCAUGCCCAAGGAUUAUGGAGUGGAGGACUCUGGAAGACAGAGGUUAACAUGUGGCUGCCAUUAUCCUGGGACAGCCUUCUGGGGGCCAUGCCAUUUGUGAAUAUCCAAACUUUAUAUUUCAACAAUGUUUAUACUGUGGGCUUCACUUCUCCGGGAAGGGUUUAAAUAAAAAAAA
rnacentral:lncRNA from 1 species